UGUGAAACUCAAAAACUAUCCCAUAUAGGAGGCCAUGCAUGUAUGAGGUUCAGUGUCCUGAGGGCCAUUCCAUCAAUGCAGUGAUAUGGAUUACAAGCAUUCAUGCCUUUCUGAAAGAGGACUUGACAAAAUGCAUGGAAGAUAGCAGUAGCAACAUGAAGAAUCUACAUGAAACUCAAGAAAAGUAGCAACACCAUGCACAGAUGGAAAUCACAAGCUGCAGAAGCUGCGGAACUGGCUACCAAAAAGGUAAUGGAAAAUAGACAGCAAUUGAAUCAAUAAAUGUGAAAAAGCAUA